rnacentral:rRNA from 1 species
GACGAACGCUGGCGGCGUGCUUAACACAUGCAAGUCGAACGGACCUUCUGAUCUUUUGGUUGGUUGGUUAGUGGCGAACGGGUGAGUAACACGUGAGUAACCUGCCCUUCUCUUCGGGAUAACUGUCGGAAACGGUGGCUAAUACCGGAUAUUCAUAUGCUGUCGCAUGGUGGUGUGUGGAAAGAUUUUUUGGUGGGGGAUGGACUCGCGGCCUAUCAGCUUGUUGGUGAGGUAGUGGCUUACCAAGGCUUUGACGGGUAGCCGGCCUGAGAGGGCGACCGGCCACACUGGGACUGAGAUACGGCCCAGACUCCUACGGGAGGCAGCAGUGGGGAAUAUUGCACAAUGGGCGGAAGCCUGAUGCAGCGACGCCGUGUGCGGGAUGACGGCCUUCGGGUUGUAAACCGCUUUCAACUGUGACGAAUUUGACGGUAGCAGUAGAAGAAGCACCGGCUAACUACGUG